GACUGUUUUUUGCCGUAAAGAUUGAGUCAAAAGUACGUGCCGCACGCUAGCAUACGUUACUCUCAUUUAGCAACUAUGUGGACAAAAGUUUAGCUUUCUGUUGAAGCACAUUACUUAAGUUAGCAUAAGUUGGCUUGGGCAUUUGAGUUGUUGUCAGAUCUAAUUAAGGUGGGCUACAAGAUUCUAUUUUACCAUUUGUUGUUUUACUUUUUCAAGUAAAACGGUUUAUGGGAGUUUAUAGGGAGAAGCUUGUUAUGCAGGUUGAUGCAAAAAGCUAAAAAGUAGCUUCAAAUAUGCACUAAUGUAAUAUACAGUAGCUAAAAGUUAGUUGACUAGUUGUUGAUGUAAUGAUUUUUUUUCUUGAGAGAGUAUUUCAAAGAUUGUUUUGCUGUGAGGGCCUGCAGUGAAAACAUGAUAACUUGCAACAUAUGUGGUAAAACCUGCAGGAAUACGUUUGGACAUGUCAGGCACAUGCGAACUCAUAGUUGUCUGCCUAAUGCAUCUUUCAAGUGUGGUUUCCCUGAAUGCUGAUGUAAGUUUUGUUUAGCCAUAUUUCUUGUGUCUACAAUGAUUGUACAUGCAAUUCCAUUCUUAAUUUGGAUACUGUUGUCCAUGUUCUACAGAAUGUAACCCUAACCCUGACCCUCCCAACCAGUCCACGACUGAUUCUACUGGGGCUUGCUGCAGUUUUUGCCACGUUCUAUGUGUUCAACCUGCAAUACCAAGAAGAAGCUGCAAGGACACUGGAGUUUGUUCAAAGGCGCCUCAUUGGGAUUAAUCCCGAGAAGGGAAGAAAGACCAGCCAGGGGAAGGUGGUGUCAAAGAAGACGGGGAAGCUGGUCCACAAAAAGGCAACAACGGUGAAUCCUCAUGUGGCCACGCUGCUUUAUGGAUUUUGUACUGAUACUGAAAAUGUUCAGCUUUAAUAAAUGCCUAAUGUUGUAAGGCCAUCUCUUGUCUGAGCCAUUUCUGUCAUAGCUAUUUUCAUGUGUUAUUAUUAUUAU